UUUUCAAACUAAAAAGUUAUGCAAUAAAAGCACGUAAAUUACGUGCUUUUAUUGCAUAACUUUUUGGUUUGAAAA